rnacentral:lncRNA from 1 species
GGAUACACGGCCAGAUCACAUGCUCAUAGGGCAGACUGUAUGUCACACACGGUCUAGACACACGCCCGUGUGCCAACCCAUGUGGACAACCUUGAGGCUAUUUUCCAAGCGUUUUGUCACCCUUAAUAACACAUGCACACUUACAUAUCUCAAUGUCAUCCUACAUGGCAUAAAUGAGCACUUACACAUUCAUAAACAUGGCUCAUGCAUAUCAACUUCUUACCAAUUUAUCCUUGC